GACGAACGCUGGCGGCGUGCUUAACACAUGCAAGUCGAACGGAAAGGCCCUGCUUUUGUGGGGUGCUCGAGUGGCGAACGGGUGAGUAACACGUGAGUAACCUGCCCUUGACUUUGGGAUAACUUCAGGAAACUGGGGCUAAUACCGGAUAGGAGCUCCUGCUGCAUGGUGGGGGUUGGAAAGUUUCGGCGGUUGGGGAUGGACUCGCGGCUUAUCAGCUUGUUGGUGGGGUAGUGGCUUACCAAGGCUUUGACGGGUAGCCGGCCUGGGAGGGUGACCGGCCACAUUGGGACUGAGAUACGGCCCAGACUCCUACGGGAGGCAGCAGUGAGGAAUAUUGCACAAUGGGCGGAAGCCUGAUGCAGCAACGCCGCGUGCGGGAUGACGGCCUUCGGGUUGUAAACCGCUUUCGCCUGUGACGAAGCGUGAGUGACGGUAAUGGGUAAAGAAGCACCGGCUAACUACGUG
rnacentral:rRNA from 1 species